CAGUAGCCGCGGGAAUACAGAGGGUGCGAGCGUUAAUCGGAUUUACUGGGCGUAAAGCGUGCGUAGGCGGCUUCUUAAGUCGGAUGUGAAAUCCCUGAGCUUAACUUAGGAAUUGCAUUCGAUACUGGGAAGCUAGAGUAUGGGAUAGGAUGGUAGAAUUCCAGUUGUAGCGGUGAAAUGCGUAGAGAUCUGGAGGAAUACCGAUGGCGAAGGCAGCCAUCUGGCCUAAUACUGACGCUGAGGUACGAAAGCAUGGGGAGCAAACAGGAUUAGAUACCCCCGUAGUCCCUGUCUCUUAUAC
rnacentral:rRNA from 1 species